UACGUAGGGUCCAAGCGUUAUCCGGAAUCACUGGGCGUAAAGCGUGCGUAGGUGGCGUGUUAAGUGUGAUGUUAAAUCGUGUGGCUCAACCAUAUCGAUGUGUCGCAUACUGGCAUGCUAGAGGACAGCAGAGGCAAGUGGAAUUUGUAGUGUAGCAGUGAAAUGCGUAGAUAUUACAAGGAACACCAAUGGCGAAGGCAGCUUGCUGGGCUACUCCUGACACUGAGGUACGAAAGCGUGGGGGAGCGAAACAGG
rnacentral:rRNA from 1 species